GACGUAGGAUGCAAGCGUUGUCCGGAUUUAUUGGGCGUAAAGAGUUCGUAGGUGGUUCGUUAAGUCUGAUGUUAAAGACCGGGGCUCAACUUCGGGACUGCAUUGGAUACUGGCGGACUUGAGUGUGGUAGAGGCAAUCGGAAUUCCAGGUGUAGCGGUGAAAUGCGUAGAUAUCUGGAAGAACACCGGUGGCGCAAGCGGAUUGCUGGGCCAUAACUGACACUGAGGGACGAAAGCUAGGGGAGCGAAUGGG
rnacentral:rRNA from 1 species